CUGAUUCGCACAAGAGCGAAUGUAAUAUGUAUUGUUUGGAUUGUAUGAAUGGCCCUCUCUGCUCACUCUGUUUGGCCUACCAUAAAGACCACCGCGCUAUCCAGGUUUUUCUUCUUCUUCUUAUGCUAGAAAUUAAAGUUUUGAUUGGUCUGCAACUAUAGAUUUUAAUGGUGGAAUUGAAAAUUACAGAUAAGGAGGUCAUCGUACCAUGAUGUUAUCAGAGUAUCGGAAAUACAGAAGUAUCUGGACAUCAGCUCGGUGCAGACAUACAUAAUCAACAGCGCCAAGGUGGUUUUCUUGAACGAGCGGCCGCAGCCGCGGCCGGGAAAAGGCGUCACCAACACCUGCCACGUCUGCGACCGCAGCCUCCUCGACUCCUUUAAAUUCUGCUCACUUGGCUGCAAGGUAUUCAUCGAUUCUAAAUUAUGACACGACUGAAACGAGUUGUGAUGUUAUUGCAUUUGUAUUGAUUUGAUUGAUUCUAUGAAUUUGUUUUAUAGAUUGUUGGGACGUCGAAGAAUCUGCCCAGGAAAAACAAGCAGUGGUCGGAGAAGAGGAUUUCGGAUUCCGAUGACUCGUACAGCAGCGGCAGCCAGAAUAUUCCGAGCUUCACUCCGUCGACGCCGCCGCCAACCUCCGCCAAUUACCGGAAUGCGAAGCGGAGAAAGGGG
rnacentral:lncRNA from 1 species